CUUCCCUCUCAGCACUGCGCUCUCUCCCGAGCCCUCCGGCUCUACCAACCUCUGUGUCCUGCCCCUGGGCCUCAAGAUUUGCGCCUUUCUUGGACUCGCUUGGGAAGGGGCGCCCAGGCUGCAGAACGGAUGGACGCUCCUGCCUGCUACUCGAGUGGAUCGAGCAGGGAGGCGCUCAUUCGGAUUCCAGGAGACCAGAGGACACAGGACAUAGGGAGCGUUUACCCUGUGUGGAGCUACCUGCGGCUGAGAAUUAGUGGCAGACGCGGAGAUGGGCAGCGGGGACAAGUUGGGCUUGGGAGACUAUAAGACCUUGAGAAUGGGUUCAAGCUGCCAGACGGAAAUCCGCCUUUUCGGUGAAUCGAGCCAUGAAGAACACAAUCAUGAAAAGAUUCAGCGAGCAACUAGACAGCCGGCUCGUUGGUCUAGGGUUUUGAUCCCGAAAGAUGUCCAGCGGAGGCAUCACCAAGAUUUCCGGGAGUGCUGGGGAUUGGAAAGAAUCGUGGAUAGGAGACUAAGCGAGCCGUCCCGGAAGCAACAGUUGCUGUGAAGACUUUGGGCACAGACCUGCACGUGAGAGUAUGCUCUUGAGGGUUGUGGGGGCUCUCCUUUUACAGCUAGGGAUCACUUGUCGAACGUACCCGGAGAGUAGCUGCUAGCAGACAAUAUUAUGGCGACAGAGGUAGGUGUGGGUUUCCGUAGUGUAGUGGUCAUCACGUUCGCCUAACACGCGAAAGGUCCCCGGUUCGAAACCGGGCGGAAACAUGCCACAGUGUUUUUUUUUUUUUUCCCCCCCCUUUCUUUUGAGAUGGGGUUUCGCUCUUGUUGCCCAGGCUGGAGUGCAAUGGAGUGAUCUCGGCUCACAGCAACCUCCGCCUCCCAGGUUCAAGCCAUUCUCCUGCCUCAGGCUCCGGAGUAGCUGGGAUUACAGGCAUGCGCCACCACGCCCGGCUAAUUUUGUAUUUUUAGUAGAGACGGAGUUUCUCCAUGUUGGUCAGGCUGGUCUCGAACUCCGGACCUCAGGUGAUCCGCCCACCUCGGCCUCCCAAAGCGCUGGGAUUACAGGCGUGAGCCACCGCGCGCGGCCCCGAAGCGGUUAUUAUCUCAUUACACGCUCUUAUUACACUGGAGACUAACCUAGAAGAUCCCACUAGUAUGUCCACCUGGUGGUCACAGCGGCACAAAGAGAAGAGGGCAUCUACGCUUUUGCUUUCCAUUCCCAACCACCCGCACCUGUGAACUCAAUCCAGUUUUACUUGCUGUGGACAAGCUCGGCACAGAGCUCAUCCACUGGACAGCGGCACGCUGCCAAAUGGAACCCCGCAUCUCGAGUAUGUGUGGGGCCCAUUACUCCUUUUGUAACCCAUAGGGGACAAAAGUGACAAAACUACCACAAACUGGCAGCGGUGGGAUUCGAACCCACGCCCCCGAAGAGACUGGAGCCUUAAUCCAGCGCCUUAGACCGCUCGGCCACGCUACCUCUUUGCCGCUGGGUAUUUACAUAUUUUCCUUCAGUUAUGAAGCGUGCGAAGGGGCUCUGGGCCAACAGGGAGUUGGGGCGAAUCCACAGGGCAGGACCAUGGCAGGAUCCGCUCCGCCAAAGCCACUGGCUGGGAAACGGCUCCACCAGUGCCCUGACACAGGAUUCUCAAUGCCCAGGCCUCAGGAUCUGCUUUAGGAAGGCCAGUCAUAAAGCCACCCUCUUUGGGGAAUGCACUCCAGAGCAGGGGAAGACUUCGACACUCUCACUUCAAAAAAUCAAAAACAAAUACAAUGAAAAAUAAAAUAAAAUAAAAACCUAAAGAAAAACAAGCAAAAAACCCCAGCCUGGGCAACAUGGCGAAACCCUGUCUCUACAAAAGAUGUAAACAUUAGCCGGGCGUGAUGGUGUGUGACCAUAGUCCUAGCUACUCAGGAAGCUGAGCCCAGGAGGUCGAGGCUGCAGUGAGCCGAGAUCGCCCCACUGCACUCCAGCCUAGGUGACAGAGCAAGACCCUGUACCAAAACCAAUCAAACAAAAACAAAACAAAACAAACAAAAAGCCCCAACAACAACAAAGCAGACAACAAACUGAGAGUAUGUAUUGACUUUAUGAGUCAUGAGCAGAAACGUUCUUAGCAACUUCAUUCAUAAUAACUCACUUAUGGAAACAGUCCAAAUGCCCACCAUCUUCACAUUGGAUAAAUAAAAUUGUGUACAGUCUU
rnacentral:tRNA from 10 species